rnacentral:rRNA from 1 species
UACGUAGGUGGCAAGCGUUGUCCGGAUUUACUGGGUGUAAAGGGCGUGUAGCCGGGCUGACAAGUCAGAUGUGAAAUCCCGUGGCUCAACCACGGAACUGCAUUUGAAACUGUCGGUCUUGAGUAUCGGAGAGGCAGGCGGAAUUCCUAGUGUAGCGGUGAAAUGCGUAGAUAUUAGGAGGAACACCAGUGGCGAAGGCGGCUUACUGGAUUAUAACUGACGCUGAGGCUCGAAAGCGUGGGUAGCAAACAGG